GACGAACGCUGGCGGCGUGCUUAACACAUGCAAGUCGAACGGUAAGGCCCUUCGGGGUACACGAGUGGCGAACGGGUGAGUAACACGUGGGUGAUCUGCCCUGCACUUCGGGAUAAGCCUGGGAAACUGGGUCUAAUACCGGAUAGGACUCCGGACUGCAUGGUCUGGGGUGGAAAGCUUUUGCGGUGUGGGAUGGGCCCGCGGCCUAUCAGCUUGUUGGUGGGGUGACGGCCUACCAAGGCGACGACGGGUAGCCGGCCUGAGAGGGUGACCGGCCACACUGGGACUGAGAUACGGCCCAGACUCCUACGGGAGGCAGCAGUGGGGAAUAUUGCACAAUGGGCGCAAGCCUGAUGCAGCGACGCCGCGUGGGGGAUGACGGCCUUCGGGUUGUAAACCUCUUUCAGCAUCGACGAAGCGAAAGUGACGGUAGGUGCAGAAGAAGGACCGGCCAACUACGUGCCAGCAGCCGCAGUAA
rnacentral:rRNA from 1 species